UAACUCAGCUGGUUAGAGCAUGGUGCUAGUAACACCAAGAUUGUGGGUUCAAUCCCAC
rnacentral:tRNA from 1 species